CCAGGUGUAUGAUGACCAUUUCAUCAGCGCGGUGGUUCUCUCUCUGAUCCUUGCUGCACUGUUUGGCCUUAUCUAUUUGCUAAUGAUCCCACAGGGGAUGCUGGUGCUGCUGCUGCUGGUGCUGUGUGUGUGUUUCCACGUGGCCUGUGUCAUGUACCUGCAUCUCACCAGUGUUCAGUGCCAACCGGGCUGCCUCACCAUCCAGAUCCGAACAGUGCUGUGUGUCUUCCUCGUUCUGCUCACAUACUCUGUUACCCAGGCCUGUGUGGUAAG